CGGGGCUUUCUUCCUGGGUUACAUGAUCCCGAGUUUAGUUUUGAAACAGACGCAGGCAGGCACAACUCACCCUCAAACAGCAACACCACCGAAAACCACAAAACCAACCCAAUAUUACACACCUAGGGGGAAUCACGGGGUCAAAUUCUCACCGACCGAAGCCCCAGCAGCUGCUAAGAUCCCCAGCGAAUGGCGAGUGGCCUGAGAAUCCUUCAAAGUAUGAAGGGAGACAUCAGUUUUCUCCGCAAAGAGCUUAGUGCCCUCAAAAGGAAGAAGAUCUUUGAUGGUUGCCUGCACCUCCUUUGGGCAACCUGACAGGUGGAGCCAAGAGGCAUGUCACAUCACCACUGCCGUGGAGGUGGCUCUGGCUUCAGUAUCAGCCAUGUUGAGGGCAGACUGUAGCAUUGUCUUUGCUACUAGCUGCCCUUCUUGGAUGUUGGCCUUAAAUUGUUCACAAUGUGUCUCAGGCAGCUGCUCAAUAAAGUAGUGUUCUAUUUCAAAUAA